rnacentral:lncRNA from 1 species
ACCAGUAGUCUGAUUCCCAACUCUACCAAGGUUCUGUAGAUCUGCAGCAGCAGCCAAUAGAUUAGGUUCUAAACCACCUAACAUUCUAGAAUCUAACCCCAGUCCUCCCAUAGCACUUGCAGCAGCAUUCUCAAACAGAGGUGGCAAAGUCCCAUUGCCCAGCUGACCUCCCAUCAUAGAUGGAGAAGAAGGACUUCCAGGAUACCCACUACCACCAUAACUUGCAAAUGGGGAAUUUAAGUGAUCCAUGUGUUGGUGAUUAGGAGAGCUUCCUCUGCCAUUUAGAGGUGGAGUGGAUGGCCCUUUCAAGUAUGAGUUGGCAGAUCCCAUUGACUUGUUUAUAUAU